ACCACACAGCAGCUACACUGAGAUGGAAAUAACACAGCCAGAUGUUAAUUAACAGCACAGCCCCAAUUAACAGGUGCCAAUCAGUACAGAAACACAACUCUGUUCUGGACAAUCCCGUGCCAGGUGCCGCCACGCAACACCCAGCUGGGGCCCGGCCUGGGGCACCCGCACGGAGGAUGAGUCCCCAGUGCUGCCCUCGAGGGUAAGGGAUCGGGAAACACGGGCUCUAGGCGGAGGGCAGCGGGGAGCCGUGGGGCCGUCGGAAGGUACCACCAGCCUCCUCCAGCGCUCUCCCCACGUCGGAGAGGGGAAGAUGGCGCCCGCAGCGCCACGGACACGCGUGGCCGUGCAAAGGUUUUCCCCUUCACCGGCUGCGGCGGGUAAGCGGCUCCCGACGGGGCGGGCGGGGGGAAGCCCUCUCGUGAGGGGUGCCUGUGGCCUGAUUGGCCUCGCCGGCUGCCAAUCGGUGUUGCUAUUGCAUCAUCCCGGCGGCCGGCGCGGUGGCGAUUGGAGAGGGGGCGGGCGGAGUUGGAGGUGUCGCAAUCGCCGCUCGCCCGCACGCCACACGUUAAGGAAAGAGGCUCGGGCCCGGCCUGGCCCCUCCCGCCGCCAUAGUAUGCCUUGAAGGAUGCCACAUAGCACCUGCUGCUAUCCAGGAUAUCCUUCCUUGUCAUUCUGUUGAAGAACUGACAGUUGGUAAUAGGGAUCCAGCCUCCAAAUACCAGGGGGAAAAACAGUUCCAGGCCUCAGCUGUUACCACUCCUGGGUUAUCUGUGAUACAGUGCAGUUAGUGCUGCUUGCUUUGCGUAAAUGUUAGUUGGAACAGGACGGGUAUCCAUGUAUCAUCUCUCCCAGGUAAGAGUUCUGAUUAUCAAGCUAGAUAAGAGUAUGUCUCACUUAUUAAAUGGUUACUUGAUACAAUGUGGAUCAGUUCCGGUGGGAAAGAAUCGAGGGACAUCUGUUCUAGCAGGGCUGGAAUGCUUGCUUGAGAGAUGUGACACUGGCUCAUCUUCUCUUCUUGUACCUGUGUAUUGCCCAACUGAAAUACUCCAUUAAAAUCUGAUUUAAUGGAACAAAUAAUUUCCCCUUUGAAUUACAGAGGAAUAUGACAGAGAUCUGAAGGGAACGUUAAAGCAGUAUUAAAGGUUUCAGUACUGUAGAGAGAAAUAGCACAUGGAACCUAGUGAUGUGAAGAAACUUGUCACACAUGGGGUGGGGUGCCUUUGGGGGCAGGAUCCUCCCCUUCCCCUAUAGUAUCUCAUGAAGCACAUGAAACAAAUAAUGAAAAUGGUAUGGGUUCCUUAGCUGGGCUGUUCAGAUGAAGUUAGCAAGCAUAACAAUCUGUUGAAAUUGAGAGGACAGGAGGGCAUACUGUCACUUUGAGAAUGGAUGCUAAAAAUCAGUGGAAAAAUUCAGCUGUCAUAGGCAGUCUAACAGAGCUAUCUGUAUACUCUUUGAGGACUACAGAAAUCCUGUAUUUAAAGCUGAGAUAAAGCCAGUAUAUGCUUCCAGAAGAACAUACAAUUGCAUUUUGACUAUCAAUGUCUGUGUAAUCACACAUGCACAGCUACUACAACUGGCCCUGCCAGUCUGCUAUUUGUGCAGUGACAUCUUGUUAGCUGUAUGUUCAAUUUAACUGCUGAACCAAAUUGUUAAUUCGAUCAGAAACUAAGACUUAAUGUAGUUU
ensembl:lncRNA